GGGUUCGUGGUGUAGUGGUCAGCACGCUCGACCCGUAUUCGAGAAGUCCAUGGUUUGAAUCCCAGCGAGGGCA
rnacentral:tRNA from 1 species